AAAAAUUAAGCAAAUGGGAUAUGAACAAACAUCAUCUGUUGUUAGAGAAGCCAUAAGGGACCAAGUGGAGAGUGGUGAACCUAGCUCAGAGAGGUGAAAAUUGUAGAGUGCUUAAGCUUGAGGUCCAAUCAGGAUGUUCUGAUUGAAGCAGUGGCCCUCGAGAAGUUGAAGGAGAAUGCUGAGCAAGCUGAAAACACUAGGGAAGCUGAGUUAUUCGAUCAAAUGAUUUCUCUUGUGACUCGCAUGCAUGAACGUCUUGUUCUGAUAAAACAGUCUCAGACCAGCAGCCCAGUCCCAAUACCAGCUGAUUUUUGCUGCCCUCUCUCUCUUGAGUUGAUGACUGAUCCAGUGAUUGUGGCAUCUGGGCAAACCUAUGAGCGAGCGUUCAUUAAAAACUGGAUUGAACAUGGGCUCACUGUGUGUCCCAAAACACGACAGACUCUUGCUCACACCAAUCUGAUACCUAAUUACACUGUAAAGGCUCUCAUUGCAAAUUGGUGUGAGUCCAACAAUGUGAAGCUGCCUGAUCCUGUGAAGUCUGUGGGCUUCAAUCAGCCCUCACCACUUCUUGUACAUGCAGAGUCUGGUGGCAUGCCCAGGGAUUCACA
rnacentral:misc_RNA from 1 species